CGAAAUAUUUCUUCGUACUGCUCGGUGCGAGCAAAAAUCGCACUGCAGCAGAAAAUUUUUAUUUUUAAGGCAUUGGAGUGUCUUCAUCGAAACGACUACAGUCAGUUUUGGUCUCUGGUAUAUUUUGACUUCAGUUCAAGCUCUGGCACGAUGCCCAUCUUAUAAUUUUGCGCGUCCUGGAUGUCUUUUUCGAAUCCUGCUUUCAACCAGGAUUUAAGGCAGACCAAUUUUUGUAUGGUUUCGGCGCUGAGACAUUGUCUCUUCGGUUGCAAUAUGUCGGGACCAGAUGAAAAUAGCCGUUCAACCGGGAUACCAGAACCGGAGGCCGCCAAAAAGUCCUUCGCCAUGAUUGAUAGUAUUGGAAACUCCUUCGCAUGAAUCUGUGCAAUAAAUGUAAGGUUUUUUAGCUGA